GUCCUCUGGGCCUGACCACAUGAGUCCUUCCAAACUCAAAUGUCUUCACAGUACUUCUACUACUAGAACCAACAGUGGUGGUGGUGUUGCUCAUUAUAUUCCAACAAACAAUUCACUCUGCGCAGACUACUUGAUUAUUGAUAAACGGUUUAAGCCGAGUUCCUUUUCUUCUGUUUCAAAUUUUCUCAGAAACCCCAAGAACACAAAAACACUACUCUACAGUGCACUAGUCCAUGCUCCAAAA
rnacentral:misc_RNA from 1 species